rnacentral:rRNA from 1 species
CUGCGCGGAAGAUGUAACGGGGCUAAACCAUGCACCGAAGCUGCGGCAGCGAACGUAUCACUUAAAGCGAUUCAGCGGGUUACGAUUGACGGAGCGAAGCGACGUCAAAGCGUAUACAAAGUCGAGUCGGUUUAAGGAUACGUUCGUUGGGUAGGGGAGCGUUCUGUAAGCCUGUGAAGGUGUGUCGUGAGGCAUGCUGGAGGUAUCAGAAGUGCGAAUGCUGACAUAAGUAACGAUAAAGCGGGUGAAAAGCCCGCUCGCCGGAAGACCAAGGGUUCCUGUCCAACGUUAAUCGGGGCAGGGUGAGUCGACCCCUAAGGCGAGGCCGAAAGGCGUAGUCGAUGGGAAACGGGUUAAUAUUCCCGUACUUGGUGUUACUGCGAAGGGGGGACGGAGAAGGCUAUGUUGGCCGGGCGACGGUUGUCCCGGUUUAAGCGUGUAGGUGUGUGUUCCAGGUAAAUCCGGUUCACUUUAACACUGAGGCGUGACGACGAGGCACUACGGUGCUGAAGCAACAAAUGCCCUGCUUCCAGGAAAAGCCUCUAAGCAUCAGGUAACAUCAAAUCGUACCCCAAACCGACACAGGUGGUCAGGUAGAGAAUACCAAGGCGCUUGAGAGAACUCGGGUGAAGGAACUAGGCAAAAUGGUGCCGUAACUUCGGGAGAAGGCACGCUGACACGUAGGUGAAGUGAUUUACUCAUGGAGCUGAAGUCAGUCGAAGAUACCAGCUGGCUGCAACUGUUUAUUAAAAACACAGCACUGUGCAAACACGAAAGUGGACGUAUACGGUGUGACGCCUGCCCGGUGCCGGAAGGUUAAUUGAUGGGGUCAGCGCAAGCGAAGCUCCUGAUCGAAGCCCCGGUAAACGGCGGCCGUAACUAUAACGGUCCUAAGGUAGCGAAAUUCCUUGUCGGGUAAGUUCCGACCUGCACGAAUGGCGUAAUGAUGGCCAGGCUGUCUCCACCCGAGACUCAGUGAAAUUGAACUCGCUGUGAAGAUGCAGUGUACCCGCGGCAAGACGGAAAGACCCCGUGAACCUUUACUAUAGCUUGACACUGAACAUUGAGCCUUGAUGUGUAGGAUAGGUGGGAGGCUUUGAAGUGUGGACGCCAGUCUGCAUGGAGCCGACCUUGAAAUACCACCCUUUAAUGUUUGAUGUUCUAACGUGGACCCGUGAUCCGGGUUGCGGACAGUGUCUGGUGGGUAGUUUGACUGGGGCGGUCUCCUCCUAAAGAGUAACGGAGGAGCACGAAGGUUGGCUAAUCCUGGUCGGACAUCAGGAGGUUAGUGCAAUGGCAUAAGCCAGCUUGACUGCGAGCGUGACGGCGCGAGCAGGUGCGAAAGCAGGUCAUAGUGAUCCGGUGGUUCUGAAUGGAAGGGCCAUCGCUCAACGGAUAAAAGGUACUCCGGGGAUAACAGGCUGAUACCGCCCAAGAGUUCAUAUCGACGGCGGUGUUUGGCACCUCGAUGUCGGCUCAUCACAUCCUGGGGCUGAAGUAGGUCCCAAGGGUAUGGCUGUUCGCCAUUUAAAGUGGUACGCGAGCUGGGUUUAGAACGUCGUGAGACAGUUCGGUCCCUAUCUGCCGUGGGCGCUGGAGAACUGAGGGGGGCUGCUCCUAGUACGAGAGGACCGGAGUGGACGCAUCACUGGUGUUCGGGUUGUCAUGCCAAUGGCACUGCCCGGUAGCUAAAUGCGGAAGAGAUAAGUGCUGAAAGCAUCUAAGCACGAAACUUGCCCCGAG